rnacentral:rRNA from 1 species
AUACGGAGGGUGCAAGCGUUACUCGGAAUCACUGGGCGUAAAGCGCGCGCAGGCGGGCUGAUAAGUUGGAUGUGAAAGCCUACGGCUCAACCGUAGAACUGCAUCCAAAACUGUCAGUUUAGAGUCUGGGAGGGGAAGAUGGUAUUAGUUGUGUAGGGGUAAAAUCCGUAGAGAUAACUAGGAAUACCAAAAGCGAAGGCGAUCUUCUGGAACAGUACUGACGCUGAGGCGCGAAAGCGUGGGGAGCAAACAGGAUUAGAAACCCUAGUAGUCC